GAUGAAGAACGUAGCGAAAUGCGAUAAGUAAUGUGAAUUGCAGAAUUCAGUGAAUCAUCGAGUCUUUGAACGCACAUUGCGCCCCCUGGUAUUCCGGGGGGCAUGCCUGUCCGAGCGUCAUUGCCGCCCUCAAGCACGGCUUGUGUGUUGGGCCCCCGCCCCCCGGCUUCGGGGGGCGGGCCCGAAAGGCAGCGGCGGCACCGCGUGCGGUCCUCGAGCGUAUGGGGCUUCGUCACCCGCUCUGUAGGCCCGGCCGGCGCCCGCCGGCGACCCCAAUCAAUCUUUCCAGGUUGACCUCGGAUCAGGUAGGGAUACCCGCUGAACUUAAGCAUAUCAAUAAGCGGAGGA
rnacentral:misc_RNA from 1 species